AGUCACAUGGCCGAGAGGUUUAAGGCGGCGGGCUUAAGAUCCGCUCUCUUUUGAGAUCGUGGGUUCGAACCCCACUGUGACUA
rnacentral:tRNA from 1 species